GGGUCAGUAGGUUGGUCGUGCCACCGGUACGUACUGGUCUCACUGAUUCCUCCUUCCUGAAGAACCGUAAUGCCAUUAAUUUGGUGGUGCGGGGAAACAGGACUGUUACUUUGAAAAAAUUAGAGUGUUUAAAGCAAGCUAACGCUUGAAUACAUUAGCAUGGAAUAAUGAAAUAGGACGAUCGAUCCUAUUUUGUUGGUUUCUAGUAUUGACGUA
rnacentral:rRNA from 1 species